rnacentral:rRNA from 1 species
CCUACGGGUGGCAGCAGUGGGGAAUAUUGGGCAAUGGAGGAAACUCUGACCCAGCAACGCCGCGUGAAUGAUGAAGGUCUUCGGAUUGUAAAGUUCUUUUCUAAGGGAAGAAGAAAGUGACGGUACCUUAGGAAUAAGCCUCGGCUAACUACGUGCCAGCAGCCGCGGUAAUACGUAGGAGGCGAGCGUUAUCCGGAAUGACUGGGCGUAAAGGGUGCGUAGGUGGUUUGACAAGUUAGUAGCGAAACUCCAAGGCUGAACCUUGGAACUGCUACAGAAACUGUUGGACGUGAGUGCAGGAGAGGAGAGGGGAACUCCAAGUGUAGGGGGGGAAUGCGUAGAUAUAAGGAGGAACACCAGGGGCGAAGGAGGGUU